AGAAAGAGAGCCUAGAGGUCAAAAUAGGGUCUGGAUUUAUUUCUUAAUACUGCAUGAAAACUUAUUAGAAACAUAAUAAGCACAAGAUUGCUCACAAUAAACAGGAUCUACUGAUAUACAAAAAUACAGAUACAACUGAAAGAACUCAUAGGAGAAGCAAUAUAUCUAAUUCUAAAACCAAAUAUAAACUACUCUGACUUACAUGUCUUAAAAACUAUAUCAAUUCCAUCCCCAUGUUACAAAAACAAGAGUAAGGAGCUCAAUACAUGUUGUUCAUAACAUGUAA
rnacentral:misc_RNA from 1 species